rnacentral:tRNA from 1 species
AAAAUCCGUCAACUUUAAAAAUCGAGAGGUUUCAAGUCCCUCUAUCCCCA